AGCUCCAAUAGUGUAUAUUAAAGUUGCUGCGGUUAAAAAGCUCGUAGUUGGAUUUCGGAGUUGUUAUUCUUGGGUCUUCGACCGUAAAAAGUUGGGGAUCGGGGGUAACGAUAGUCUUCAUCACAGUCCAUCGGGAUACUCUCUCGGUGAGUGCUGGGUGUUGACCUCUUUUGAUUCUGUUACUGGUGGUCAGCAAUGGUCAUCGGUUCAGAUAGUUUACUUUGAAAAAAUUAGAGUGUUCAAAGCAGGCAUAAUUGGCAUCGUGAAUACAUUAGCAUGGGAUAAUAGAAUAUGACAUCGGUCUUAAUUUUGUUGGUUUCUAAGGCCGGAGUAAUGACUAAUAGGGAUAGUUGGGGUCGCUCGUAUUGAAUCGUCAGAGGUGAAAUUCUAGGAUUGAUUCAAGACGAACUAAUGCGAAAGCAUUCGACAAGGAUGUUUUCA
rnacentral:rRNA from 1 species